rnacentral:snRNA from 1 species
UGUGUGUUUCGUCAGCAAUAUACUAAUAUUGGAACAACACAGAGGUGAUUAGAAUGACCUCUGUGCAAGGGUGACAAAAAAAUUUGUGAAGUUCUAGAAAUAAAA